rnacentral:rRNA from 1 species
UACGUAGGUGGCAAGCGUUGUCCGGAUUUACUGGGCGUAAAGCGUAUGCAGGCGGACUUUUAAGUAGGAAGUGAAAGGCAGGAGCUCAACUCCUGGACUGCUCCCUAUACUGGAAGUCUUGAGUGGCGGAGAGGAAGAUGGAACGACACGUGUAGCGGUGAAAUGCGUAGAGAUGUGUCGGAACACCAAUGGCGAAGGCAGCUUGCUGGGCUACUCCUGACACUGAGGUACGAAAGCGUGGGGAGCGAACAGG